rnacentral:misc_RNA from 1 species
UAGGACGCGUGCUCAAAUUUUGGACAACAAUUAUCGAUUGUUGGGAGUAAGUAUUACUGCGUUAUACGAUAUAUUGCUUCAUAUAAAAUUUUUUUAAAAAAAUGAAUUCUGCUUUAUAAGAUAAGAAUUUCAUAAGCACACAUCUCCAACACAUAGAUAAUUGAAUCUGUGGCUAAAUAUGCGAUGACCAAUUUUAGUACCCCAUGAAUAGAAAUCAUUAGAUGUGAAAAAGAAAUUUCACGGUUUACCUGACACUGUUUUUUCACAAGAGACUCACAACCACUGGGGAAAAUCAAUAAAUAGUUAAAAAAGUAGCAGGAAAUAGAAAUCUUACAGCCAACCUCUAAUUGCAGAGUUGAGACUUCAAAAAUCAAAACUGUCUUGCAUUGCUAUUAUUCAUUUGUAAUUCAACAAAUCCACAAAAUUACCCCAUAACUGACUAAUAUUUAAAGCAAAAGGAGCCCGAUUCUAUCUCAAAUUCCCACAAAAACCAAACAACAACCUCCAACGUAAACUCAUCAAGCUAGGCUACUUAUCAUCAAUUAAACACAAAAGCAACUCCGGAGAGGGGGAGAGUGGAAUUGAUCAAAUAACAGAAAGAGAUCUAGGGAGGGGG